UUAGACCCAAGCUUAGAAGCCGCAAGUACUGUAACCUCAGUAUUACAUUCCCUGUAAUCUUCUCAAAGUUAAACCAGGAACCAUAGUCAAUAUAAUCAACCUUGCCAAUUGCCGGAACAGCAGAAGACAACUCAAACUUGAAAGCUGGACCUGCCAGAUCAGCUACCAUUGCCAGUUCUCCUUGUUGCGACUUCACUUCAUGAACAGCCUUAAACUGCAAACCAGGAGCCACAUCAAACGAAGCAUUGACCAGAGCAUUCUUCUCUUCAAUAUCAUAAUGAAGUGACAAAUACUUCGAAGUUAACGCCAAUUGAGGAUCCG
rnacentral:misc_RNA from 1 species